rnacentral:rRNA from 1 species
GACGAACGCUGGCGGCGUGCUUAACACAUGCAAGUCGAACGGAAAGGCCCUGCUUUUGUGGGGUGCUCGAGUGGCGAACGGGUGAGUAACACGUGAGUAACCUGCCCUUGACUUUGGGAUAGCUUCAGGAAACUGGGGCUAAUACCGGAUAGGAGCUCCUGCUGCAUGGUGGGGGUUGGAAAGUUUCGGCGGUUGGGGAUGGACUCGCGGCUUAUCAGCUUGUUGGUGGGGUAGUGGCUUACCAAGGCUUUGACGGGUAGCCGGCCUGAGAGGGUGACCGGCCACAUUGGGACUGAGAUACGGCCCAGACUCCUACGGGAGGCAGCAGUGGGGAAUAUUGCACAAUGGGCGGAAGCCUGAUGCAGCAACGCCGCGUGCGGGAUGACGGCCUUCGGGUUGUAAACCGCUUUCGCCUGUGACGAAGCGUGAGUGACGGUAAUGGGUAAAGAAGCACCGGCUAACUACGUGCCAGCAGCCGCGGUGAUACGUAGGGUGCGAGCGUUGUCCGGAUUUAUUGGGCGUAAAGGGCUCGUAGGUGGUUGAUCGCGUCGGAAGUGUAAUCUUGGGGCUUAACCCCUGAGCGUGCUUUCGAUACGGGUUGACUUGAGGAAGGUAGGGGAGAAUGGAAUUCCUGGUGGAGCGGUGGAAUGCGCAGAUAUCAGGAGGAACACCAGUGGCGAAGGCGGUUCUCUGGGCCUUUCCUGACGCUGAGGAGCGAAAGCGUGGGGAGCGAACAGGCUUAGAUACCCUGGUAGUCCACGCUGUAAACGGUGGGUACUAGGUGUGGGGUCCAUUCCACGGGUUCCGUGCCGUAGCUAACGCUUUAAGUACCCCGCCUGGGGAGUACGGCCGCAAGGCUAAAACUCAAAGGAAUUGACGGGGCCCCGCACAAGCGGCGGAGCAUGCGGAUUAAUUCGAUGCAACGCGUAGAACCUUACCUGGGUUUGACAUGGAUCGGGAGUGCUCAGAGAUGGGUGUGCCUCUUUUGGGGUCGGUUCACAGGUGGUGCAUGGCUGUCGUCAGCUCGUGUCGUGAGAUGUUGGGUUAAGUCCCGCAACGAGCGCAACCCUUGUUCACUGUUGCCAGCACGUUAUGGUGGGGACUCAGUGGAGACCGCCGGGGUCAACUCGGAGGAAGGUGGGGAUGACGUCAAGUCAUCAUGCCCCUUAUGUCCAGGGCUUCACGCAUGCUACAAUGGCUGGUACAGAGAGUGGCGAGCCUGUGAGGGUGAGCGAAUCUCGGAAAGCCGGUCUCAGUUCGGAUUGGGGUCUGCAACUCGACCUCAUGAAGUCGGAGUCGCUAGUAAUCGCAGAUCAGCAACGCUGCGGUGAAUAAGGUCCCGGGGCU